AUACUUACCUAGUGCCGGGGCCUCGUUGAUCGCCGAGUACGAACCCUCAAGGUGAGGCGUGGGCAUUGCACUGUACUCGCUUGACCCCUGCCACUACCCUAAACUGGGUCCGAUGGGCAUUCAAAUUGCAUAAAUCCGGUUCACGCAAGAGAGUGCGCCACCGCC
rnacentral:snRNA from 1 species